AGCUUGAUUGCAAGACAUACAGGUCGAGCAAGGAUGAAAAUCGGACUUAGUGAUCCGGUGGUUCUGCGUGGAAGGGCCAUCGCUCAACGGAUAAAAGCUACCCUGGGGAUAACAGGCUUAUCUCCCCCAAGAGUCCACAUCGACGGGGAGGUUUGGCACCUCGAUGUCGGCUCAUCACAUCCUGGGGCUGUAGUAGGUCCCAAGGGUUGGGCUGUUCGCCCAUUAAAGUGGUACGCGAGCGGGGUUCAGAACGUCGUGAGAAAGUUCGGUCCCUAUCCGUCGCAGGCGUAGGAAAUUUGAGAAGACCUGUCCGUAGUACGAGAGGACCGGGAUGGACGUACCUCUGGUGUACCAGUUGUUCUGCCAAGGGCAUGGCUGGGUAGCUAUGUACGGAAUGGAUAAGCGCUGAAAGCAUCUAAGCGCGAAGCCAACUUCAAGAUAAGAUUUCCCACCGCAAGGGUAAGACCCCAGAAAGACUAUCUGGUUGAUAGGUCGAAGGUGUAAGUGCAGCAAUGUAUUUAGCUUAUCGAUACUAAUAGGUCGAGGACUUGACCAAU
rnacentral:rRNA from 1 species